rnacentral:rRNA from 1 species
UGGGGAAUUUUGGACAAUGGGGGAAACCCUGAUCCAGCAAUGCCGCGUGAGUGAAGAAGGCCUUCGGGUUGUAAAGCUCUUUUGUCAGGGAAGAAACACCGGCUCUAACACAGUCCGGGAAUGACGGUACCUGAAGAAUAAGCACCGGCUAACUACGUGCCAGCAGCCGCGGUAAUACGUAGGGUGCAAGCGUUGUCCGGAAUUAUUGGGCGUAAAGAGCUCGUAGGUGGUUCGUCACGUCGGAUGUGAAAAUCUGGGGCUUAACCCCAGACCUGCAUUCGAUACGGGCGAGCUAGAGUGUGGUAGGGGAGACUGGAAUUCCGCGUGUAGCAGUGAAAUGCGUAGAUAUGCGGAGGAACACCGAUGGCGAAGGCAAUCCCCUGGGCCUGUACUGACGCUCAUGCACGAAAGCGUGGGGAGCAAACAGG